GACGCCGGUAGCUUAGUUAGAGAACAACAAUUACCGCACCUUUUCCCAACUGCAUUUCUCCAUGCUCCCCACGCCUUGGGCCGUCCUGCGUCAUGAUUCCUUAUCCCAUAAAUACCCCAAGCCGCUUGCCUUCAGAUUGUGUGUGCAGCCUGGCCGGUUGCCCGCAGCAUUCUACCUGCCGCAUCGGGAAAGGCUGAACCUCGAUGGAGAAGAAAAGGAGACUCCACUGUACGGAACGCUCUCCUGUGCGCAUGCUCCGAGAGAUUUCAUGCCAGGCGGAAGGCACAAGAUACUCCGAUAAUUAAGUAUCAAAGGUUGAUGGAGCGCCAUGGAAAUUCACCGAAGGCUGCUAGCCAGGAGGCUCAAGAAGGAAUUGUCAAAAAGGAGAACUAUCCAGACAUUGUCUUUGCAGCCUAAACAGGAAAGAAAACUCAUAG